GUUUUGAAGAACUUGGUGAUGAGUUUGAGUUUGUUGAGGAAGAAGGGACUAUUGUGGCAGUGUAAUGCUGAAUAUCACUCUCCAGAAAGAGGCAGCUCAGAGAUGUGGUUUAAGAAACGGUUUCUUGUCAUCAAAGGAUAACUGCUUUUAGAAGUCUCGAGACAUGUGCCUGGGAGAGAAACCAAAGUCACGAGUUGUGACAUGCUGAUAGAGUUUAUGAUGAGAUGAUUUCAAUCAGAUGAUUCAAUUUGCAUGGUUAAGAAUGUUUGGGUUGGAUGAUUUUAGUCUCCUUUGUAGCUUCAUACGAUCAUUUAUUGGAUGAUUUUAGUCUC